rnacentral:lncRNA from 1 species
AGAGAUCUUAUCGCUAUUUUAGAGUCAGUGCCCUUGCUGAGUGUCUGAGAGCAAGAUGAUUGCCUUUUUUUUUUUAAUAUAUAUAUAUUUAUUUAUUUAUUUUUCUUUCUGUCGGUGGGUUUGCUGUUGGAUCUUCUUUAUCGGUGGGUGCUGCUCAUCAUUUCGGUCGUGGCCGUCAUCAUGGGUCUGUCAAAGUUGCCUCUGCAUUUACACCGUUUUAUUCGCUGUCCCUGCCGACUGGAGAUAAAUCUCAGCAAUAAAUUGCAGCGACAGAUCUGAUCGUUUUGCCCCAAACACAGAGACAGCCAACUCUCCGCUUGUGGAGUUUACCCUUCUGCCACCCAAGGUAAAACUGGAUUUCCUUCUUUGAACUCAUAGCCUUUCAGAAAAAUUGAACAAUAAGGAAAGUGCCUUUUCUUCUGAACAAGUCGAUGAACUCUCUCCCAUGAAGCAAUCUCACCACGCAGCGCCUGGGAGUUGAUCUAGCAAGGACCAAUCGACGCGGGCCACAUGGUCGACGAGGGCGGAUGC